rnacentral:tRNA from 1 species
GGGCCUGUAGUUUAGUGGCAGAACACGGCAUUCGCAUUGCCGAGGUAGGGGUUCAAUUCCCCUCAGGUCCA